GGCUACACACGUGCUACAAUGGGUAGUACAGAGAGUCGCAAAGCCGUGAGGUGGAGCUAAUCUCAGAAAACUAUUCUUAGUUCGGAUUGUACUCUGCAACUCGAGUACAUGAAGUUGGAAUCGCUAGUAAUCGCAAAUCAGCAAUGUUGCNGGUGAAUACGUUCUCGGGUCUUGUACACACCGCCCGUCACACCACGAGAGUUGGUUGCACCUGAAGUAGCAGGCCUAACCGUAAGGAGGGAUGCUCCGAGGGUGUGAUUAGCGAUUGGGGUGAAGUCGUAACAAGGUAUCCGUACGGGAACGU
rnacentral:rRNA from 1 species